GAAAAUGGAGAGCUUAACAGAGGCUUGAGUUCACACAGGCAGAUAGGGCGUGGGGGUAAAGUCCUCUGAACAGACAGGGAACAGAAAUAAGUUGGUCUUCUCCUUGCAGGGGAUAGCAAACGGCGCAAACUUCUCAAAGGCCAGAACCCAUUAUUACCGCAAAGGCGCGGCAUCCCUUCUUAGCGGUCAUGAUGGCUGUGACGUCUCAGCUCAAUGGAAAAUUAAAGUCACCUCUGGGCACAUCAAACACUAUUGUAAAUGCGAAGCGUUUUAGAAGCCGUAUAAAAACUGAAGCAAGCGGGACUAGAAAAAUAAGCGAGCGGUGCGUUGCAGGUAACCGAGCCAGAGCGGUUAGGUGAGAGAACCGUGGGGGCGGCCAUCUUAGGGGAAGUUCGGUGUCCGUACGGCAGAACAUAUGCUCUCUGGGAAGCUUGCGGUGAAACUGGCCCAUGGAAAUGUCUUUAGAAGAGAAGAACCACCUGGCUCUGUUCUUGACUCUGGAAAAGAAUCCUUUUCUAGAAUUAUUUAGGUUGUUGCCAGAUUAAUUUCCUUCAGAGAGUUUCCUUGCCCCCACGCCUUCCUAUCUUUAAAGCCAACAAUAGUAUGUCAAAUCCCUUUAAUAUUUGAAACCACUGACUAUUGCUGUUGCAUCUCUCCGGUUUCUCCUAUUCUUAAGUGCUUGGGCAAUCCAGAAUAAUCUCCCAAUGCUAAAGUCAGCUGAUUAAUAAACUUAAUUACAAUGCA
rnacentral:antisense_RNA from 1 species